UGAGGAAUCUUGGACAAUGGGGGCAACCCUGAUCCAGCGACGCCGCGUGAAGGAUGAAGGUCUUCGGAUUGUAAACUUCUUUUCUUUGGGACUAAGAAAACUCUGGAAACAGAGUGAGUGAAUGUACUAGAGGAAUAAGCCACGGCUAACUUCGUGCCAGCAGCCGCGGUAAUACGAAGGUGGCAAGCGUUACUCGGAAUUACUAGGCGUAAAGGGCAGGUAGGUGGUUCGGUAAGUCUGUUGUGUAAGCUCCCGGCUUAACUGGGAGAGGUCAACGGAAACUGCCGAGCUUGAGUAUAGGAGAGGGUACUGGAAUUCCCGGUGUAGCGGUGAAAUGCGCAGAGAUCGGGAGGAACACCAAUGGCGAAAGCAGGUACCUGGACUAUUACUGACACUCAGCUGCGAAAGCUAGGGGAGCAAACAGG
rnacentral:rRNA from 1 species